rnacentral:ncRNA from 1 species
GGUCCUGGCCUUAUAGUUAGUUAGAGGUAGAUUUACACAUGCAAAUCUCUAUAAACCAGUGUCAAAUCCCUAGGUUUUUACUUAAAACCCUAAGGAGAGGGUAUCAAGCACAUUCACAUAGCUAAAGACACCUUGCCUAGCCACACCCCCACGGGAUUCAGCAGUGAUAAGAAUUAAGCAAUAAACGAAAGUUUGACUUAGCCAUACCUCAUUAGGGUUGGUAAAUUUCGUGCCAGCCACCGCGGUCAUACGAUUAACCCAAACUAACUAUCCUCGGCGUAAAAUGUGUUUUUACUGCUAACAUAAUAGAAUUAAAAUCCAACUAAUAUGUGAAAAUUCAUUGUUGGACUUAAAAUCAAUAACGAAAGUAAUUCUAAUUAGAUUAAUACACGAUAGCUAAGAUCCAAACUGGGAUUAGAUACCCCACUAUGCUUAGCCCUAAACCUAAGUGAUUAAAUAACAAAAUCACUUGCCUGAGAACUACUGGCCACAGCUUAAAACUCAAAGGACUUGGCGGUACUUUAUAUCCAUCUAGAGGAGCCUGUUCUAUAAUCGAUAAACCCCGUUAUACCUUACCACCCCUUGCUAAUUCAGCCUAUAUACCGCCAUCUUCAGCAAACCUUAAAAAAGAACAAAAGUAAGCAAGAAAAUACCCAUAAAAACGUUAGGUCAAGGUGUAGCCUAUGGGUUGGGAAGCAAUGGGCUACAUUUUCUUUCUCCAAGAACAUAUACGCUACCCUCUAUGAAAUCUAGAGGACAAAGGAGGAUUUAGUAGUAAAUUAAGAAUAGAGAGCUUAGUUGAAUAGAGCAAUGAAGUACGUACACACCGCCCGUCACCCUCCUCAAAUUAAGCUACUACACUAACUAUAUCUAAUAUCAACUAACAA